AACGAACGCUGGCGGCGUGCCUAACACAUGCAAGUCGGACGAGAAAGUUCCUUUCGGGGAACGAGUACAGUGGCGCACGGGUGAGUAACACGUUGACAACCUGCCUUCCAGUCCGGGACAACCCCGCGAAAGCGAGGCUAAUACCGGAUAAUAAGCCGGGCCGCAUGGCUUGGUUUUGAAAGACUUGUCGCUGGAAGAGGGGUCUGCGGGACAUUAGCUAGUUGGCGGGGUAACGGCCCACCAAGGCUAUGAUGUCUAGCGGGUCUGAGAGGAUGAUCCGCCACACUGGAACUGAGACACGGUCCAGACUCCUACGGGAGGCAGCAGUGGGGAAUUUUGCGCAAUGGGCGAAAGCCUGACGCAGCGACGCCGCGUGAGGGAUGACGGCCUGG
rnacentral:rRNA from 1 species